CGGACGGGUGAGUAAUGUCUGGGAAACUGCCUGAUGGAGGGGGAUAACUACUGGAAACGGUAGCUAAUACCGCAUAACGUCGCAAGACCAAAGAGGGGGACCUUAGGGCCUCGCGCCAUCAGAUGAACCCAUAUGGGAUUAGCUAGUAGGUAAGGUAACGGCUUACCUAGGCGACGAUCCCUAGCUGGUCUGAGAGGAUGAUCAGCCACACUGGGACUGAGACACGGCCCAG
rnacentral:rRNA from 1 species